UACAGAGGUCUCAAGCGUUUGUUCGGAUUCAUUGGGCGUAAAGGGUGCGUAGGCGGCGCGGUAAGUCGGGGUGUGAAAUUUCGGAGCUUAACUCCGAAACUGCAUUCGAUACUGCGGUGCUUGAGGACUGGAGAGGAGACUGGAAUUCAUGGUGUAGCAGUGAAAUGCGUAGAGAUCAUGAGGAAGACCAGUGGCGAAGGCGGGUCUCUGGACAGUUCCUGACACUGAGACACGAAGGCCAGGGGAGCAAACGGG
rnacentral:rRNA from 1 species